rnacentral:lncRNA from 1 species
AGUCAUUUGAUGAGCAUGUGGAGCUCACAGAUGCACAGAGAAUCAGAGUUUUGGCUCACAUGCAGAGGCUACCCAGGUACUGUAUAACAACUUCCCACUUCACUCUAAGUAAAGAUGUGGUUGUGGCAUCUACUCAGCCAUGCAGUGUAAGAAGAUUGACCUUCGUCAGCCACACCACUUGUUCUGUAGUUCUCAAGACAGCCUGCAGUCUUCAGGAGAAGGAUGCCUGGCCACUACAACCAGGCUUCCUUCUGCCAGCGGGCCUAGGUCUCAUUGUUAUGCAAACACGACCAGGGCUCCGAGAAGCUAAAGGCGCCUCUCUUGCGAUGGGAGUGAUUGAGAGGCCUGCUCCAGGCUUGUCAGAUAAAGGCUGCAGGAUUUGUGUUUAGCUUCCUCCGAUCCUCGCCCCGCACAAUCGGUCUGAUCCGCCGCUGGUCUUGAUGGGCAGCCUUGGAGGCAUAAAUCUUAAUCAGCCACCGACGAAAACGGAAGGGAGCAGAGCCCAGCGGUGGACACGGGAGGAAAUGUGUCCUUUCACAGCUCUUUGUGCUCUGCCCCCCUUCCCCCGCUCACACAAAGCACGGUUCGCAAAGGGCAGGAGGAGAGAGACAACGAGGUGGAGAAAAUAUGCAGAGCACAACCUGCUGUCACUAUGCCCAGAAGAACGCUUCUUCAUAAAGGCUUUCAGAAGUCCUCCUUAGGAAGUUAACUCCUGGAAUGGGAGAGGCAGCUCAGAAAUUUUGGACCUGGGUGGAAAAGAGCUAGCCAGCAAUGGAGAUCUGUGUUGUAGGAUUUGGCAUAUUGUGCCCCUUUUGGAUGAGCAAGGAUGGCACAGACCCUCACACUUCCCUAUUACCUCAGGGCUUAGCCGAGUUCUCAAGUAACUAACAAGAAAUUGGAUCAUCUCACUAACAACAUACAGUUUUGACCCAGCCUUCUUGGAUAGACAAGGUCCGUUAUAUUUACAAAAGACCUGAUCAUAUUGGGAAAGUGCUAGAAUUAGUCUGUUGAUAUCACUGAAUACAAUUGCUUAGAUUAUUCUUAUGGGCAUGUCUGUGAGGAUUUAUUGUGAGGAGCCCCUGCAUUUGCAAAUUUGCCAUCACCUCCCUGACUUGGAUCUCUGUGGGAAGAAGACUGAAUGCUUAUUUCAUGACCCACUGUGCAAAUUGUUUGUGUCUGUUUAUAGUUGAUUUGAGAGUAGGAUAUGGCUGUAGGUGGAGGGUGUAAUGGAACCUGGCAUUCAUUAGAAUAAAUCAUUUCUCUGGAAAAUAUAAAUGUGCA